rnacentral:rRNA from 1 species
GACGAACGCUGGCGGCGUGCUUAACACAUGCAAGUCGAGCGGUAAGGCCCUUUCGGGGGUACACGAGCGGCGAACGGGUGAGUAACACGUGGGUGACCUGCCCUUAGCUCUGGGAUAAGCCUGGGAAACUGGGUCUAAUACCGGAUAUGACUCCAUGACGCAUGUUGUGGGGUGGAAAGCCUUGUGCGGCUAGGGAUGGGCCCGCGGCCUAUCAGCUUGUUGGUGGGGUGAUGGCCUACCAAGGCGACGACGGGUAGCCGGCCUGAGAGGGCGACCGGCCACACUGGGACUGAGACACGGCCCAGACUCCUACGGGAGGCAGCAGUGGGGAACCUUGCGCAAUGGGCGAAAGCCUGACGCAGCGACGCCGCGUGAGGGAUGACGGCCU